UCUGGAACUCUUUCUGGAAGAUUCUGUAGGGUCUGGGGGUGGGGGAGGGGGGAAGGUCAUGUAAGAAUGAGUGGGGCGUGGCCAGAAAUGGCCUUAAGAAGCCAACUGAGUGUUAGUCUGAUCUGGGUCUGAUAUACCGCCUCUUUGGGCAGCCUGCUCGCUCCGCCCAAUUGGACUUCCAUUUCUGUCGACACAAGCACAAGCUCACAGCAUCCUGGAUCGAGUUGUUCUUUGAUAUUUAAAAGGUAGAUUCUCCUUCUAUGAGUACAAUAUUAAUGACUAAUCGUAGAGGAAAAUCCACGUUUUCAGUAUCAAAUGCUGCUUGGGAAACCACCGAGGACAUGACAUCUUCACCGAAGAAAGCAUGCUAUCCGUCGUCUUCCUGGGCUUGGCGGGGAUAGAUAGAUUUGUGACUUGUAUGAUGUGUGCCUAUAUGCCAGCCUCUCCCAGUGAUGUGUUCUGAGACCACUGUGUUCUUUAUAUCCCUUCUCUGACCUCAAAUGAAGUUGUUUCUCUGUGUGCUCACCAUGUGUAUAUGUUUUCUGGAAUUGGCUUCUUUUUUCUGUAGCGAUAUGUCUUGGAGACCUCCUGGGUGGGCCAUCAUUUUGGGUAAGGACGCCUUGGGUAACCCUUUGGGGGGAGUGGAGAAGGGGCAUGUGAAUCAUCUGGAAGUGUAACCUCCAAAUGUGCCCCCUCAGGCUCACAUCCGGACCGUCAUCGCAUCUGUCAUCGCACCGGACCAGCUCUCCCCAGCGCUCCUUAUCGUUUGCUACUUGAAGAGAGGUUAUCCUUUGUGUGUUUGCUUUACGCGAAAUGAAUAUGCAAGGGCAAGCUCUCUUCGAGGAGCAAAUGCUGCCUGGAAGCAUGGCUGGCGGCGGCCUGGGCCUAGCAGAAGGGUGUGGUCUCUCCAGGGUAAGUAAAUGCAUGGUGGGCCACUGAGCUUGGGCUCCUUCUGUGUCUGACCCUACAGAGCUCAUGCAUGCUUCUGAGAACUUUCUAGAAAAAAUGCUGACGUGGGAGAUCCUAAGGGCUGUUCUUGGUAGAGUCUAGGAAACUAAGCCUCCCCUUCUGACAGCCCUUCACAGUGUGGUGUGCAUGCCAGGUCGACUUCUAAGGCCAAAAGAGUGUCAGCAGCAAGCCAGUGCCCAUUUAGAUGUGGAUUUUCUGCCCACCAUUGCCAACCAGUCCUUACAAUCACCUUUUAGGCUUCACGUCCACUUAAGGGAAGGGGGGUUAGUGGAUAUCCAAAGAAAAGAUGCCCCCAGAGGCUACCAAGACCAUUAAGCCUCCUUCUCCAGGUGUCCUCUUCACCUUGUUGUCACAGCAUGAAGUUCUGUUAAGGGUGUCUAAAGAACCUUGGUUCUGGGGGUUGGGUGGGGGUGGGGCAUCUCACCUCCCUCCGGUGAGCCUUGCAUGGGUCUGAUGUUUAUAGUGAUAAGUCUCCCGUAGUCCUCUGAACUCCCCAAAAAGGGCAGAAGAAAGGUCCAGAGGUCUCCGUACUGCUCCAGUUUGGGGAAGAGGGUGGGGGCUUUCAGAGAGCUAGUUUUCCGGUUUUUCUUCUUUCUUGAAUGAUGCAUGUUGCUGUGCGUACUAAUCCUGCUCUUUCUAUGACCAUCUGGAGGACUUCCUGGAGGCUGCAGCUGUGGGCACAGGUGGAGGCUUUCUUGUCAGGGUGGCUUUGCAGGCUCUGGAAUGCCAAUCAUUCUCUGUCACUUUUUGUUAAGUUACACAGAAUUCCCCUCCCCCCCCCAUGCCCAUCCUCCCAUGCCCCACCCUAGUCUUUUGGAAGAUCACCCAGUUUUGGAGUGAUACUGAGACGUAAACUAACUUUAGGGCUGGGCACCAGUGUGCAGAGUGUGCGGCACAUUCCAGAGCCAGUCAGCUAAGGCUUGCUUCACCAGCCCCUGUGCUUAGCCCAAGGCCUCGCAGGUGCUUCACUAGUCCCUGGCCCAACUCUUGGUUCAUGUAAAGAGGAUAGCCUCCGGUAUGUUCUCUUUAUUGAUGGUGAUAUACAUCGAGAGGCACUUGUCCUCACAUCUAACUCUAUCUGGGAACUACUCCAGCCCUGUUCCAUCUUUGGGACAGAUCUCCAGAUACAACGUGACUUCCGACUUUCUCGGGUAUGUACUAAUUCUUGGUUCUAAGAUGGGACCUCUGGCUAAGCUACUAGUCUCUGGUCCUCCUUGUCCUCUUGGUGCCUGAUCUUUUGCUCUUGAGGGUGAGGGAGGGUACUGUGGUGCCUGUUGCACUUGCAUUGAACAUAAUCACCCAACAGUGGCUUGCUUGUUAAAAGACAGUGGCCCACAGAGCUGCCGUCUGUUUGUACCAAGCCAUCUCCAGAGCCUUGUUGCUCACAGCAUUCACCUCAGAAGAUAAAGCUUGAUGUUAGACUAUCCCAGCUUUGAUACAAGUACUGGUUUAUACAUCUUUAUUUAUAAUGAUUUCAGGCCCGGUCCACCUAUCUCCAAGUGAGGACUUCCUGGAAGUGGUGUCCGUCUUUGGGAAGAGGCUGAAGUUUGCCAUUCCCCGCAGUCUAUCUGGUGUUCUUCUGUGGCUGUACCUAGAUCAGAAGGGGGCAGUUUAAACAGCCCGCACCUAUGGAAGCAACCCAUCCCAUCAAAAAAAGUCAACUGCAAGGAGCACAGUUCCUGGAACCACAGCUUCUGGGGCAGGAGGAGUCCUAUCUGUCGUAUCUACCAGCAACACUCGACGUUAUCGAAAGAGACCUCUCAGAGUCUAGGAAUUCAAUUUGUCAUGGGAAGAAUCUUCUGGAAGCAGAGAAGAUAGUAGACAAGAGGCCCCAGUUUUCCUGCCGGAGAUCUCUGAGAAUAUUUGAGGUUGUUCAUGUUCUGUUUGCUUAUUGUGAACGAGACAAAGUUAGCUUCCUUUUGAAUAUCAAACUCUGCUUUUUGGAAGGGCUCCCUGCACAAGCGAUAUGAGACUGCCUGCCUUGUGUGAGCCUUGGAUGAGCCCUGCAGCUCCUUCGAGAUGCUCCUUGGAUAGUCCUGAUGGAGAAGACCCCAAGGAAGCUUGGUCCUGCUUGCGAUGAGCUUGCUGUGCUUUCACGGACACUCUUUGUUUCUUCUACCAGCCUUCAGUGCCAGGAUGAGCUUGAAAGGAGAGCUGAUGCCAGGGCUGUAGCCUUCCCCAGCCAGAGCAUGUGGGCCACACCCUUUCUGGAUGGCUAGGCUGUGGGGAGAAGCUAUGGGAUGCUUGAGAAGUUGUCACAUCUCCCCUGGGGACAGUUUGGUUUUCAGGGUUACAUCCAUUCAAAAACACCCCCUGGUAUUCAGGCUUGUGAAAGACAAGCUAACUUGACCCUGUUCCUUUGUUCUCACUGAGGUCCUGUCCUUGGCAUCUCCUUCCUCCGGUAGACACCACCGAGGUGCAGACACUACCCUGAUGGGACUUCCUGUCCUGCUGUUUGGCUCUGGAAGAGACUUGAUUCCUUUCUUUUUUGUGCUGGUGGAGAUCACACAGAAAAGGUAAGGAGAACCCAGCUGUUUGGGAUUCUGGAAGAAAGAGGUUGGCCUGUAUCCCUGCUGUAAGGAAAGAUGCUGUUCUUGGGCGUCUCCCUUUUCAGGGAUGAUGGCGGUGGCGGACAGGAAGCCCAGCUCCUGCCGCCUGGAUGUCUCUUCCCUUUGUGGGGACCAAUCCUGGAUGGAAUCAGUUCAAGAUGGAUGCCAGCUUCAUACAAGAGCCCUAUCAGGAUUGGUCUGAGGUCUGUGAGAGUAUAUUUGUCCCAGGUAAAUCCAGGUGCUAGGGAUAUCUGAUAGCCUAUAGCAUAUACAUGCCAUCUUUAGGGCAUUUCUGAGGUCAGGAUGCUUCAGCUCUCAUCCCUGCUUCCUCUCUUUGCCAGAGAGAAGUGCUAUCGGCUACUAAAAGUGAAUACUAAAUGGCCUAUCUAUGUAAGAGAUUUUCAGAGGGAAGCCCAAAGCCCAGGAAGAAAUGAUGGACCAGAAACCACAGGACAUGCUUGGAGACUCGCUGCAUGGUGGAUGGCCCUGAGAUGGCAGGGCUCACAGAUGGUCACGUUUGGUGCUUGCAGAUUGGUAAUCUCUGUGCCCUUAGCUUUGUUUAUUCUGGUCAUACAAUGAUCAACCAGUUCUCCAUGCUGCCGUCGAGGGCUUUCUGGACUGCAUGGCACCUUCCGUAAGGAGACCUUGGCUUCAGUCGCUAGUCUAGGUAUGUACAAUGACAGUCACAUACUCGCAUUAUAGUGUAUAGCAGUACUGUGCUUCCUGACAAGAGCCUAACCACUGAUGAAAGGGUUGUGAUAUUUGGGAGGGUGCUGGUAUCAUUUCCAGACCAUCAUGGGAGGGAAAGAAUCACGCAGCAGAUAAUGUGUCUCCUGCUUUGGGUGAGCCUUACUCCUUGAUGAUUUGAAUAAGUUUGUGGAGUCAGGCGAGUGUAAGGGGGUUCUGUUGUUACCCUGGUAGAAACAAACGUAUCAGCUGGCACGUAAUUGGUCACUCUCCCUGCUUUUGCUUCAGAGAAGAUUCCUUGACUGACACAUCUUGCUGACAAAUGUUGGGCUGUCUUGCUUCAUAGUGGGAACUUCACUGGGAAAUAACUGGGUUUUGUUUCUGAUGCCUAGCACUUGGCUUGCUCAUCUGCAGGAGAGUCGUUAUCCUAACAGAUGCUGGGAUUUCGGUCAUGGGAUUCUGAGGCCUUCCCAUGACCCUCUUUGGGGAUUUUGGUUUUUUUUUUUUAAGUUAAAUUUUUUUUAAAAGUUAAAUUCUUAUUAAUAUCCCAACUUCAUGCUCCACAAAUUGGUCAAGAACAGUGACAAGAGAAUCCAUGUGAGCUGUUGUGCAGAUUUUAGAGAGCUGAUAAAGAUAUCACCAGGAUGAUCAAUCUUCCCAACUGGAAGUGUGGAGACUAGGGUGCUCUCAAAGUAGGGCUAGCCAGUGUACCUAGGGACUGGAUGAGCCAACAUCAGAUGUGAACAUGUAGGAAGAGGAGGGGCCAAAGUAGUACAACUGUGAUGUUGGCGGAACCACAAUCCCUGAGAGAUUCAGUGGGCUGCAGGGAGCAUACUUGCUGGUAUCAUGGCUAUCUCAGCUAAGGCAAUGACCCUGGAUGGCCUGAAAGGCUGGUAAGAUGGAAGAAAGGGUAACAGAAAAUGAGGAAGUCAUAGGACCAAUGUUGGGGAUCUUGAUGAUAUAUCAACAAAUGAGUGUUACACUGGGAAACAAAAUAGAGGUGGGGCACUACCGCCUGCUAGCCAGAACUGUAGGAAAUAAGAUGAAUACUUUCCAUGUCCUCAGGAGAGAGCCAGGUUUCCAUCAGGGUGAAAGAUGGGGCCAUGGAAAAGGAGUGAAGCCCCAAGGGACUUUGCUAGUGAAAUAUGUCUUAUGAAACCAUGGAGGCAGGUGGGACACGGAAGGGUGAGAAAUAGGUUCUUACUGGAGCUUUGGAAAGCUACCCUAAAGAAGCUUCCUAGUGGCUAGCCACUAGAAUCUGGAAAUGGUAACUGGUCUUUCUCGUACAAGGUUGCUUGUAGGAGUUGGGUACUCCAUUUGUGAUGGUCUUCUUCUUCUUCUUGAAACUGAUUUCUUGGAGAUGAGACAGUGGGAGUGGAGGAUCACCUGGGAUCAUGUAGAGCUCAAUGAACCUUCUCUUGAUUCAUAUGAGGAUGCUAGUAGCCUUGGUUGGGCUUUUCUGCAGUGGGACUUUUAUAGUCCCCUCAGGACCUUGAUGUGACUAACCAUAUGUGCACCGUUGAGAAAUGCAAGUCCCCAUUCACACACCCCAGGGUCUAUAUACCUGCAGAGGACUUCUGACCUACAGCAAGUGGGCUCCCUUCUCAUCUUGAAAACCUUCCAGUGUGAACUCUAGAACCAAGGAAGAACAGAGAAAGGGGACAAUGUCAGCAUCGUUGCAAGGGAGGUGAGUGACCACCUCUGCCCCACUCCAGUGUGUUUCUAGAGCACUUGCCCCCACCUCACUAACACUCAGCAUCCAAUCUGCCUGCAGGUUGGUGGUUGGAAACCAUAGCCCUUGGAGAAAUGGAAGGGGCCCUUUGUCUGUCUUGUCUCUGCCUUUCUGUGGUACUUGAAGAGAAGUUGUUCGUGGUGGAUUCGCUUUACUUGUGACGAAUCAUUCACGGACAACACUUUUUUCAGUACCAAAUGCUACCUCUAAGGAUUUCCUGGACAUGAUGGCAACUUGCAGAAAGAUGGCGGUUCAGUCAAGCUGGUAGAGAAGCCAAGUAUGGAUGUUUGGCCACGGACAGUGUGCUUGAGCUAGCUGUAAGUCACCUGGUCGGGUUACCUGAGCAUCUGAUCCACCUGUAGGCCUCUCAUCAGUGGGCCGUGCCAACCUUGGUGAGGCAGCUGUGGCUCUGCCCACAAGUAUCAGCUUACAAGACUUUGAAAAGAGGUCAUCUUCCAGAAGAGAUGUUGGUGCCAGCACCAUUCAGGGUGUGUGACUGGUUGACCAGAGGGGCGUGCACUCUGUUCACCCUGUGGGCCACCUAGUCACCAACCCUCAGCAUCAAUUCCACUCAAAGAAGACCUUCCAGAGAUCCUACCAAGUUUGGGGAUGUGUCAAUGGACUUGAUGGCUGUGCCUGCUCAGUGGACCAGGAUGAACUGUGGUCUUAGGGGUGUAUGUUUACAUAAGAUGCCAUGAGGCAUCCGUGGUAGCCGCUGCAUCACUGUCACAGCCUCCUUGAAAUGUUGACUUCAGAUGUGGACAUGAUGUUGACUUCCCAUGAGGGACCUGAAGUCCCUUCUCUCCUGGGUGUGUGACUGAAUUGUACUUUACUAAGCAUGUGCCUGUGCCUUACUUAUCUGAUGGAUCUAUCUUCCAGUUGUCUAACCUCAAUAUCCUGUCUCUACAGGAGAGUCUGUGAGAUGAUACCAACCUCUGGUUGUCCUGACAUCGCCACACUACCACAGGAGCUUCCAGAAUACAUUCUCUUCAUGGAAACUGUGGAACAGCGCCCCCUCUGGUCCAGGAGGACUAACCAGAUUCAAGGCUAUCAGCAUCCCCCUUUCAGGUAAGUGUGCCUCGGGUGAGCAUGCACUUAAUGUAGGUGUAUGUCACUCGGCUCGGCCCACUACCCAAUGCUGUCCCACCCCUUCUUCACAGGACAGUGGAAGCAGCCACCUUUUCGAGAGAGAGUCGAUGUGUUCUUCGCCAGUGUUCUUCACCAGUGAUCAUGUGUGAUACUUGGAGAGAGGCUGGCCGUGAUGAAUUCGAUUCAUCUAAACGAGUCAUACACGGCUCUCCUCUCUUCUAGUGUCAAACUCUGCCUCAGAGGUCUUCUCAAGCCACUACUGUUCCCAAGGUGGGUUUCUGGAUGGCUUAUCCCAUGACAAGUGCCUUUAUCUAAUUGUAUAUUUCACACAAUUAUCCCAGUGUCCAAGCUAACCCACACAUGACUUCCUAGGACAUUUCUCUGGAAAGACCAGAGACACUGUUGGGAGAUUCUGUUUAAAUGUUUAAACAUACUGGCUAGCUUCUGUUUUGGUUAGUACCUAAUUCUACCCUGGAAGAACAACUAGAAACAGCCUUCGCUAGUUAACCUUCAGGAUACAGGCUAGAAUGGGACCCGGAACAUUGUGAGCCUGUGUUGAGUUAUCUGUAGCCAUUCCAUACCCUGAAGUGAAGUCUUUGAAGGUGAGCUCAGCUUCACCCAGCAUACCCAGAACAACCUGCCUUGCAAACUUGUGUUUGCUGUGGGUAUGGCUCUGCCACCUUUGACUUAGUAAACGUUGCAUGACGAGUCAAAAAUCACCUUCCUCUUGGAGCUUAUUUGGGGCCGAUAAACCAGAGGUUAGCCAGAGAGCAUGGGUCUGAUUGGGACUUAAGCCAUUUGGUUCACUUAUUCUCAGGGUCCUGUCCAUUCUGUGUCUACUCCCAAGGUGUCCCCCUGUGAAGAAGAUGCAGGAGUGCUGUGGGAAGUGUCAUCCCCUGGUACUUGGAGGGAGGUUGCCCCAUAGUGAGCUUGCAUUAUUUAAUGAUGCCCAAUGCAGGGUAGACCUGUUUUCUGUAUCACAUCUUACCAGGUGCUUCCUUGGACCUGAUACCAAUCAUGAGGAAGCCACGUUCCUGGUGGGGUUUGUACCAUCGUCCUUGAACAUGUGGUUCCUUCCAGUGUCCCCUGACCCCAUCCAGUCCCUCCAUGGAGGGCAUUGCCAGCAUUGAGGUAGAUACCCAUGUUAUAAACUUAAGGCAUGGAUGUGGUGGCACUCAUGGUACUUCUGGCUUUUUUAUCUAUUUGUAAAGAAAAGUAACAAAUUUUGCUCCCCCACGUCUCCACUGGUAAAUCUUGUCUUAUAGGGAGGACUUAGACCUGUUGAGAAAUCCUGGAAUGGGGUCCAGGGUCAGCAUUUUUCGGGGUGGGGAUGUAACUGAGUGGUGAUUUUCCUUGUCUGUUGGCUGGGAUCUCAGAAGAAAUUUGAGGACAGUAGAAAAACUAUUUUUCAUUUCUUCAUUUUCUUUGUAAAAGGAGGAUUUAUCCUACUUAUUACUAUUUUAUUAAAAAGAUGUAUGCUCAUGAUAAAAAUAAAAGCAAUAUGAAACAAUUAAAUUAAAGAAAUUAGGAAAGUUUCUACCCACACAUAAAUAACUUCAGGAAUUUCAAACUCCUUUCUGAGACUUAUAUACAAAUGAAAAGAGGGGUAAAGAGAGAAAUAUUUCACAGGAUAAAUACUCCCUGUGUCUAAUCAUUUUAUUUCAAAUAUAAAUCAUCAUCUCACUUGUGCUUAACCUAAGGAACAAUGACAGGAAGACUUUAUAGAUGUGUCCAAAAAGAUCCCAGCCCAGCUGAGAAAGCUUAAGUUGAAAGCAUUAAGUAGUUCGAUCAGAUUCUCUGCUGCUUCUGACUGCUACAGAUAUGAAAUGCCUCCACAACAUUGCUUUCUUUACUGUUGCAAUGUGUUUUAAUUUUUCUGUUGAAAAAAAUGCAAAUGUAAGUCUUACAAGUGAGAUGGGUCCUCAGUAUUACAAACAGCUUCACUAGUGGCCACUUGUUUGCUUUAAACGGGGGCUUCUAUUUCUCAGCUCUUAGUGUAUCUCAGUGCAAUGAGGAUUUUUGUCAUUCCUACAAGGAUGGCUCCCAGAUGCUACCCUUCCUCCCUCUCUGUCCCCUCUCUACUGCCCCCUCUCCUCUUCUUUUCUCUUUUCUCCAAAAUGGGGGGUGGGGUGGGGUGGAACUCAGACCUUCACGCAUGCACAGAGAAGACCCACUCACGCACUGAGGCAUACCCACACAUAGCUUCUGUCCUUGCUCUAAUCCAUAUCCUGGGAACCCUCAAGGGCAGGGAGUGGCCUCCAAUGGCCUCCAGAAUGCUCCCCUUAGGUCCCUAGGGCAGGGAGAGAGCGUGUUUUGAGUUAAGUUCUCUUCCUUAACACAAGGGUCUUUCUUUCUUUCAGAUGUAGCUGUGCAUUAUACACCGACUAGCUUGAGCUGUGGGUGACUGUUUCCCAGGGUUUUUACACAUGUGUGGAGCUUUCCCUAUGCAGUCUUGUUACUGGGUUGAGCCUUUAGGUGAACAGUGGGUUAACCUGGGUAGCAUUCCUGUGUUCCUUCUCCUUUGCUGUCUGCUGGUCAUAGCCUUAGUAUAUAGCCUGCUUGAUACCUGAUGUCUGAACUACAGUCCUUCCUCGAUUUUUUUGGGUUCUAAGACUUUCCUAUUGGGCAUUGGUGACUUUGCCAGGUGAUACCCCAGCCAGUGUUUUCCCAUCAGUUUUUUUUUCUCGAUUGUAAUUUUUAUUCCUUCUUUAUUAGAGUUAGUUGUAUCAUUUAAAAGACGUUCUCUGCGGUUCUUUUCUUGACUUAAAAGAUCCAAGUUGUCUGUUUAGUUUAGUCAGUCUCCACCCCCUGCUGCCACCUUCCCUGCAGCCCUCUCUGGCAUCCUUUGCAUCAUGAAUUUAUUUGGUUAAAGGCAUCAGAUCCCCUUUCCCACUGUUAUUUUCCCCCUUGGCAGGAUGCCUAAUUGCAAUGCCAGCUUCUGAGGUGAACAUGGACCCACUGUCACCGGGCAAGGUCUAGGAUGAACAUGGAUACCCACCAUUAUCGGGGAGAUUCCAGAGUGGACAUGGACCCACCAUCAUCAGGCAGGUUUUGGGAUGGAUAUGGGCCCACUGUCGUCAGGUAGCUAUGUGAACUUACUGUCAACCAAGCAAGUUUUAGUGUUCAUUUCUUUGUUAUCUCAUGUUCAGUGGAUCAUAAGCUAAAAAGUACAAUCUAUUAUUAGAAAAACACCCUGAAAGUUUGCUCACCCCAAGGGAUGAGGCCAUGACUCGAAGGUCAGUGCCAUUUAGUGCUGACCUUACCUUUAUAAUGAGUAUUGCCAAGUCAGCCUCUCUGUGAACUCUUCAGGAAAUCCCUAGAAACAAAGCCUAUGUAAAGCGAGGGUCAUUGGUGUUUGCCUCAAUCCCAGUGUGAAGCUAGGGACUUUCCACUCCUAUGAUGAACACAGGAUGAAAUCUGUGCAUCUAGGACCUCCAUCACCAGAUCCUUGUAAGGACCUUUAGACACUGUAUCCUUGGCAGUGGUGCCAAGACUAGAUAACCAUGGGCAUCAGGGGUUGGGGGGAAUGGGUUGGACCUGGGGUAUGUGAUGCCUUCUCAAGCCCUCUCACAGUCAAUGCAGUAACCUGCUGUGUUCACUGUGCUUGGGGGACUUCCUGGAGGAAGCCAGCUUCAGAGAAGAGAUGCUGGUACCCACGUGCGGUGCUUGAAGAUAGGUUAUCCGUGUUGCCUUCGCUUUAUUCGUGACGAAUCAUACACGGUUGACCUAUUUUUCAGUACCAAAUCCCGCCUUGGAGGAAUUUCUGGGGUGGGACUGUGGUGUUAGCGUCUUUCCGGGGUAAGUGGUUGCAUCUAGUAAGAGGAAUGCUGUCCAUGCCCAGUGUAUCCCUGGUUCUCUUGUGGACUCAGGGAGGGAGGGACUUACUUUGGAAUGAGGUGGAGUAUUCUGUAGUCAUUCACUUUAUUACUCUGGCAAAUCAUAUAAAGUCCACCUUCUAAGGUGUAAAAUGUGUCCCUCAAGCAUAUUAGGGAAAGGUCAAGGUCAGAACUAGGAAUUGAGUUCACAGCAUCUACCAUAAUGUUUACAUCAGCCCCUCUGGCCACGUAGUCUGAGCUCCCUAGAAGAGGCAGUUGUGUUCCCUGGUGGUGUUCUGAUAAGAAGCCUUCCCACUUCUCUCUAGGACACACCCAUGUGGGCGUGGCAAGCUCCUGUGGCUUCUUCUGGUCAGUGAUACUAACCACCACAGGCAGGAGACAAGAAGUGACCCCUAGGCCACAUGGCAUAUGUCAUAUAGCUAGAAUAUGUAACCAUCUGCCCAACUCUCAGGGACUCCAUCCUCAGAUGCCUGAGAUGUACCAACACAAGCUCUCGAAAUCAAGUGUUCGAAUGGAGGUUGCCCAUGGUGUGUUCAUUUUAUUUAUGAUGAGUAUUACAUGGCCAAUCUCCUUUCGGCACUAAAAUCUUCCCGGGAGAGCUUCUUCGACUGUGCGGGUUAAGGAAAUAAAUUGUUCCCUGUACUAAGUGCUUUUCCUGGGACUUAGGUCACCUGGUUGUCAAAGUAAGAUUUCCCAGAAAUGACACCAACUAUUUCGGUGACUCUAUUGUUGUCUGGCCAUGGCUAUCAAGAGCAUAGUACAUUGUGUCAAGCACUGCAUUCAGAUGAGAAAACAUCACAGUAUUAGGCAUGCUGUAGGGAAGAGCAAAUGUCAGUCACCAGUGGGGUGGGGUUAGCUACAAGCCACUCAGUUACUCAUUCCUUACCAGUUUCACCAGUCCAGGGGGGAUCUCUAAGAAGUAGAACCAGAUGUCAGGCUGGUGAAUGGGGAGAGGUGGCUCACAGUGACAUUUAGUGACAUGAGAAUGCUGGUGUCCUUUCCCUGCUCCAGUGUCCCUUGGGAAGGAGAGACCCCAGCAGCAUUCAUUACCACCCGAUGCUUGCUAAUGGUGUGACCUUGAAUGAGUCAGCCUGUCACCUGUCUGUGCCUCCGUUUGUCUGUCUGAGAGUGUUAAUGGCUGCUUAUAAGGUAUGUAUACACGCUGAAUGUGUGUUCAGUAUUUUGAUAGUGCCUGGUUUCCCCCCAGAAAGUUGGAAAACCAUUGGCUUUUAUAAUGAUACUUGUUGCAUGGAUGUCAUUACUCGGCAGAUCUCUUCCCACCCUCUGGGACACAGGUUCCUUGAGCUCAGAAACCCCAUCUGAUGCUCGUAGGUGCACACGGUACGAAUGAUGCUGAAUGAAUGGCAGUUGGACAUGUUUUCUUUGUUGAACCCUCUUUGAGGCCUCUCGGAAGCCAGAGAGAAUAGAGGACGGUCCAGAAACCUUGUACCCUGAUGCUGCUGGUUUGUCUGUGGGGUCUCUCGGGAUACUGCUUCGGAAAGGGAGUUAUCCUCUUUCAGCCUUCAUUGGUGGGCAGGAUGGACCCUACUACACAGAGAGUCAUGGUUUCUUCUAUGUCAACCCUACCUCAGGACUUCUCUGGGUGUCCGUGUGCUUCUGGGUGAGUGACCAGUUUCUGGCCAAAGCCUGGACAUCGGUACAAGUCUCUGUCCACCUGUAGGCAGGAUAGAACUCUGCGAGUCCGUUCACGCUAGUCUGCCUUGCAGUUGGACCUGCGGGCUCAUCGGAGGUCACGCCAGCCUCCCUAGAGGGUGGGAGUCAGGGAGCCAGAGGCGAGGGAAGCAGGGCUGCCUGGGGAAGAGGCGCCCUUGCGCGACUCUCGCCCUGUGCUGACGUUUGAUUCUUGAGCAGAGGUUGCCCUUGGUGAAUUCGCUUGGUUGAUGUUGAAUCACACAAAGGCAACUUUUGUUUGAGUGUCAAAGCCUGCUUGGGGUGGCACUGGGGACCAGUUACAGAGUUCUGCGUCUCUGUAAAUGUCAUGUGCUAGAAUGGAAGGUGUGGAUAUGGGGAUGGUCAGGAAGGGGUGUGCCUCAGAAUGCCGCGUGACCAGCCGUGUAGUCCCAGCAACCAAUGGAGAGAUGCCAAUAUCUACUCCCUGGCUCUUCUCAGCCUGAAUCCUCUUUGUCACACCAGCACCUAGGCCCCGCCCCCUAGUUGGCAGACACACCCUAGUUGGCAGACACACUCGCUGUUCUAGCUCUACUCUGAAGAUACCUUGACUAAAUGAACUCUGUCCUUUGACAGCGUCAAGGACAAUGGCAGCCUUCCCUCCCCACCCCCUUCCUCUCCUUAACUCACUGGGUCAGGAGUGCUCACAUACCAUCGUUUUUUUUUUUUUCCCCCUCCCACCCCACCCCCUCAACACACCUCUGUCUGCUUCUCUCUCUUCCUCAUCGCUCACCAAACCUUGUUCUCCAUUUUUGGAUGGGUUAGGAAAUGAAUAGAGGCGACCAGCAUUUCAUCCCGUUUACAUUAAAUAAUAGUGAUAAAAUAAUCACAAAAUAACACCACACAAACUACCAGAAUAGCUUGGAGGAAAAUGUGUUCAAUUGACUACAAAUUGGCAGAAGCAUCCAAUUUUCUUGACAACAUUUGAGCUGCGACAUUUGACCUGGGGAAACAGUACUCUAUAGACAUGGCAGCCGCAAGGGCCAGCUUCAGUAGUGGCGGAUGCUAUGAGCAGCAAUAUUUGUGGUAGAUGAACGCACAUUGAGGAAUCAAAUCUUCGUUCAGAUUUUUAAAUGGGAAAGAAUUGAUCCUAAUGAAAAUGAUUUGAGGAAAUAACAAGGGAAAUAAAAGAAAUGAAAAUGGCCCAACAGCACAGUCAAGGAAGCUAAACAGGGAAUUGGAUUAGUUUAAUGGAAUUUACUUUAAAAAAAAAAAAGGAAAGAAACGCAUGUUUUUUAUGAAAAUCAAUGUGGGUGCGGUGUUUGAGAUGGGGAAAUCUAUGGGUUUAGACUAGAACUAGUGGGGUGAUGAGAAGGACUGGUCACCAUGUGGGUUGUUUUUUUUUUUUUUUUAAGGUGGCUAAACUUUAUUUUCCCAUCCCAAACCUUUACAGAGAGCUUCCUGGAGUAUUCCGAAGCUGGUGGGUGUCAUCUGGCGGAUGUGACUGGGUACCAGUGCCAGAGCAUGUGCCCACUGAGCAGUCUUCUUCACUUUCCUCGAUCCUCAUGAAACAUUCUGGGAUCUUUACCGCAAAGGACUCCAGAGGCUACAUCAUUGUCUUGGAACUGGUCAGUGGCUGGAGCUCUCUCCAGGACAAGUGCUUGGAGGAAGAACCUGGACAAGCUUUCCUCCCCAUACUGUUGACUGGAUCUUAUAUCUACCGUUAGCCACCAUCAUCGCCACUGCGUGCCUCUUAGGAGCAUUUCCAGGAGGUGAUGCCAGCUGGGGAAAGAGCCUCUGUCCCACAGGUCAGUUUCCAGAACACCUAGAUGAAGCUGCCCAUGGCGUCUUUUCCCCGUAUGACACACUGCAUGUGACCAGUCUCUUGCUGCCCUGCAGCAAGGCUAGAAGCCUGUGUGAACUCUUGCCAAAAUCAGAGAAGGGAUUCUGAUGUUGGUCACACUCCAAGAGUUUUAAAAUGAGUGGCGAACACAGAAUCCAUACUCUGCUUAUGGCCUAAGUCAAUGGAUCCUGACCCUUACUGGAGAGCCCUCCCUGGUGUGCUCGUGCGGGGCAACCAUACACACUGGCACAAGGGGACCCUGCGGGAUCUCCUUCCGCUGUUCUUUCUCUCCUCCCUCCAUGUUUAUCUUUGAAGCUUUACUUGCUUGGUUUAUAAGGCUGGAUGGUCAAGCAGUUCUUGCUAUGACAUCGCCGUGGGGGGAGGGGGCAGGCGACAGGGUGGGGUGCCAGGGUCGUGAGGCUGCAGUGCUUGGGUGGGCCCAAGGAGGAGCAUCUCUGGAUGAUGCAGUCAUUGCCCCCUUGCUUCUGGAAGGCAUCUUCUCUGGCAGGGUGGUGUGGUAUAUGCGCAGGGUCUCAGCAUCUCCCUACCUCCAGCUUACAAUGAAGAGAUAAGAGUAAGCAGAGUUCUGCACCCACUUCUUCCCCGAGUCAGCUCCUGUCUACCUGGGUCUCAAGGUUGUCUGGGAAGGCUUUAGAUAUUCUUGGAAGGUGAAAGGGUGGUAGAUUGCACUGGGGAGGUGAUGGAGUAAUUGCUUUCACCUGGUGGAGGGUGGCUCCUCGCUGAAUGGGGAGUUACAAUCUCUGAGGGGCUCCAGGAUGGUUCUUCUGGAAACUCAGCCAUCGGCCUCGUUUCUGAGCAUCUGAGCCUCUCCGUGGUACUCGGAGAGAGGUUACCCGAGCAACUUUGCAUCUGGAGGACGAAUGUUGCUCGGUGAACCCCUUUUCGGUAUCAAAUCCCUCCAGGGAGGCCACCUCAGGGAAGACCAUGGACUCAUCUCUGCUCUGGGGUAUGGGACGGAUGGUCGACCAGCUGGAAAGUAAUUGUUUCUAAUGUACUUCACCUGGUCCACUAGCCGUCGGUGCCCGCUGCAGCCUGCGCCCGGGAUGUCACGGCCUCAGCUCAACACCUCUGCUGGUACUUGAAGGGAGAUCGACCGUGUUAUAUUCGCUUGGCUGACUUCGAAUAAUACAUGGUUGAUCUUUUCUCAGUAUCAACGCUCAGCUUGGAGAAGCUCUUGGAGUUGCAGCCCCCGUGGGGGUGGGGACAGCUUGGUGCUUCUAGGUUGCUGCCUCCGCGGGGAACUGGGCUGGGUGGGACAGGCUGUGUGCUGCCUGUGUCAACCCUUCUCACCAUUUAUAUGCAAUCCCCCCCUUUCCCCCAGGACAGCUUCAGGUGGUGGUUCCAGCUCCAGGGUUGCUGCGGUCAACACUGGGUACUUGAGGAGAGGUUGUCUGUGAUGAGUUCGCUUUAUUAAUGACGAAUAUAACACAGAUGGCCUGUUUUCAAUACCACCUGCCACUCCGGUCACUCGGCAGUACAUACCAGGUGUCACACCACUGCCCGGCAGGUGACGAAGUUGAAUUGGUCCUCAGGAGCAGAUGUUCAAGGAACCCUGCCUAUGCUCCAUGCCAGCUGCCAGUCCUUAGGUUGGGAGAUUCCACUGGAGACAUCCAUGGGAGAGCUAUGGCCAUUAACAAGUCCUGAGACCUGACCUGAAGCCAUCAGUGGCCCAGCUGCUCUACCUGACUUUGUUGCCUCUUCCUGGAUCUCUCGCUUAUGACAACCGACGACAAAGAUGUUUGACUCCAGAAGAUGCUCCCCGCGGCCCACCUGAGAGGACUCUCCAUACCCCACCCCACUGCCAUCUACCUCUGAGUCCCCAACUCAUAGCCCCUGCUUCUCAUCCAUGUUUCAACUCCCACCCCAGAGCCUUGUAUUCCAGAUCUGAGCAGCCCUUGCUUAGGAACCUGAGGUGGGGGUGGGUAGGCAGACCCAGGGGACUGAGCAGGGAGGGGAAGGAGGGGUUUCUGCUCUUGGCUUUCAAAGUUCUCAGUGUGUGUAGCCCUUUGAAUAAUAAACAUAUAUCAUAUAAUGUAAA